rnacentral:rRNA from 1 species
AGGGUUCGAUUCUGGCUCAGGAUGAACGCUGGCGGCGUGCCUAACACAUGCAAGUCGAGCGGAGAUAAUGAGAGAUUCUUUAGAUGAUCUCCUUAUCUUAGCGGCGGAUGGGUGAGUAACACGUGGGUAACCUGCCCUGCACAGGGGGAUAACAGCUGGAAACGGCUGUUAACACCGCAUAUGCACACGCUGCCGCAUGGCAGGGGGUGGAAAGAUUUAUCGGUGCAGGAUGGGCCCGCGUCGGAUUAACUAGUUGGCAGGGUAACGGCCUACCAAGGUGAUGAUCCGUAGCCGACCUGAGAGGGUGACCGGCCACAUUGGGACUGAGACACGGCCCAAACUCCUACGGGAGGCAGCAGUGGGGGAUAUUGCACAAUGGGCGAAAGCCCUGAUGCAGCGACGCCGCGUGAAGGAAGAAGUAUUUCGGUAUGUAAACUUCUAUCAGCGGGGAAGAAGAUGACGGUACCCGACUAAGAAGCCCCGGCUAACUACGUGCCAGCCGCCGC